rnacentral:rRNA from 1 species
UACGUAGGGUGCGAGCGUUAAUCGGAAUUACUGGGCGUAAAGCGUGCGCAGGCGGUUAUGUAAGACAGAGGGUAAAUCCCCGGGCUCACCCUAGGAACCGCCUUUGUGACUGCAUGACUAGAGUACGGCAGAGGGGGAUGGAAUUCCGCGUGUAGCAGUGAAAAGCGUAGAUAUGCGGAGGAACACCGAUGGCGAAGGCAAUCCCCUGGGCCGGUACUGACGCUCAUGCACGAAAGCGUGGGGAGCAAACAGG